CAGUCGCCACGGGAAUACGAAGGGGGCUAGCGUUGUUCGAAUUUACUGGGCGUAAAGGGCGCGUAGGCGGACUGAUAAGUCAGGGGUGAAAUCCCAAGGCUCAACCUUGGAACUGCCUUUGAUACUGUUUGUCUUGAGUUCGAGAGAGGUAAGUGGAACUGCGAGUGUAGAGGUGAAAUUCGUAGAUAUUCGCAAGAACACCAGUGGCGAAGGCGGCUUACUGGCUCGAUACUGACGCUGAGGCGCGAAAGCGUGUGGAGCAAACAGGAUUAGAUACCCCCGUAGUCCCUGUCUCUUAUAC
rnacentral:rRNA from 1 species